UCUAGCCCUUAUCAAAGCUGCAGCUGCUUCUGUGUACUUGCUGCAGUCAAAAAGGAGCCCAGAGUAACAGUUUCCCUUGAUGGUCUCUGUUCUGUUUGCUGUAACUGAUCUGCAACAUUUUGGGGAAAGGCAGCU
ensembl:snoRNA